rnacentral:misc_RNA from 1 species
GAAAUGCGAUAAGUAAUGUGAAUUGCAGAAUUCAGUGAAUCAUCGAAUCUUUGAACACACAUUGCGCCCGCCAGCACUCUGGCGGGCAUGCCUGUUCGAGCGUCAUUUCAACCCUCAGAACCCCUUGCGGGAUCUGGCGUUGGGGAUUGGCAUCCAGCCAGCCCCGAAAUCUAGUGGCGGUCCCUCCGCGACCUCCCCUGUGCAGUAGCGAUACCUCGCAGCGGGACAGCGGUCUGACCACGCCGUAAAACCCCCGACUUUACCAAGGUUGACCUCGGAUCAGGUAGGAAUACCCGCUGAACUUAAGC